GCCAAUGAAGUAAUUGAACAGAGGUUAAAUGUUCAGCAAAACUAAUUACCAGAUUACACCAAAAUCGAAGCUUUGAAAUUUGAAUUCUUGCCAAAAACAGUGGUUAAAUAUUCUAUGAACUCUCAAAACAAAGAGUGUAUUAAUAAAAUCAGUAGAGGGAAGCCAGUUACAACAAGAACCAAAACUCAUUUUUAUAAGUAAUUUGAAGUUAAACAAAAAAAGAAAAAUAAAAUAAAGAGAGUGAAAUCAAAGAAAAGAAGAGGGUAGGAACCUGAUUUAGGGUUAAAGACGUGAUUAGGUGAGAGAGUAAUUCUCCCACAAAUCGCAGUCUCCAUCUCUCCCUUCUUUUCUCUCUGUCCCAAACAAGAAAUGGCUACUAUUAUUAUUUUUUAAUUUUUUAAAAUUAUUAAUUUAAAUUGCUUCUCUUUUCUAAAAUAUAUAUAAUAUUUUUAACAAAUAAUUUUAAGGGCAAUAAGAACUGGUGGUUGAGUGGUGGUGCUGGUGAGACGUAGAGCUAAAAAAGACGUUUUCUUCUUCUUUUUCUCCUUUCACCCGUCAAUACGAAAAUAUCUUAAACGGAG
rnacentral:lncRNA from 1 species